AACUAGGAUUUCCUUAGUAACCGAGUGAACAGGAAAAAGCUCCACUGGAAAUCGGCAGCUUGCUGUCAAAUUGACUCUCAUGAUGUGCAACUUGGAUCUGUUCUGGGAUAAUUCUCUUGGAAAAGAGUACCAUAGAGGGUGAAGUCCCGUCUUAGCUCAAGGCAUUACUCCAGUGUUUCAAAUCUGUUCCUUGAGAUUGGAGCGCUAAUCAUGUGACUAUUUCAUCUAAAGCUAAAUAUUGCUGAGAUUCCGAUAGCAUACCAUACCAUGAGGGAACGAUGAAAAGGACUUUGAAAAUUUAGUUAAAAAGAACUGAUAUCCUAAGGAAAUGAAGGUGGCUGCAUUGAACUCUUUUGCUUUUUGGCUAUGACUGGACUCUCAAAAAUCUUUAUGCCUCUUAAAAGAUUAUUGAAAUCAUGAAUGCAAUCCUCUUCUACGUUAUUCCUGUAUCUGUCAUCAACUGAAGACAUAUCUCCUACACUCAGCAAUGUGGAAACCUAUAACAUUUCAUAUAUGUCCGCUUCUCCCGG
rnacentral:rRNA from 1 species